rnacentral:rRNA from 1 species
GAAAGUAAGCAAGGGCAGACGGUGGAUGCCUUGGCUCUCGGAGGCGAUGAAGGACGUGAUAAGCUGCGAUAAGCUUGGGGUAGGUGCAAAUAACCUUUGAUCCCAAGAUUUCCGAAUGGGGCAACCCGGCUGGUAGAAGGCCAGUCAUUCCGUAAGGAAGGCGAACGUGGGGAACUGAAACAUCUAAGUACCCAUAGGAGAAGAAAACAAAAGUGAUUCCGCAAGUAGUGGCGAGCGAACGCGGAACAGCCCAAACCGAUGAUGUUUAGGCAUUGUCGGGGUAGUAGGACCACGUUGUGGCAAGAGAUUAAGGAAGUAGAACGUUUUGGAACAAACGGCCGUAGACGGUGAAAGCCCAGUAUACGACUCUUUAACGAAGCCUAGUGGAAUCCUGAGUAGCGCGGAGCACGAGAAAUUCUGUGUGAAUCAGCGGGGCCCAUCCCGUAAGGCUAAAUACUCCCGAGAGACCGAUAGCGAACCAGUACUGUGAAGGAAAGGUGAAAAGCACCUCGAACAGAGGAGUGAAAUAGUCCCUGAAACCGUCUGCCUACAAGCGGUCGGAGCAACGUAAGUUGUGACGGCGUGCCUUUUGCAUAAUGAACCUACGAGUUACUUUCUCCGGCAAGGUUAAGGGCUUCAGGCCCGGAGCCGAAGCGAAAGCGAGUCUUAAUAGGGCGUGAUAGUCGGAGUGAGUAGACGCGAAACCAAGUGAUCUACCCUUGGUCAGGAUGAAGGUUGGGUAACACCAACUGGAGGUCCGAAUGGGUAUACGUUGAAAAGUGUUCCAAUGAACUGAGGGUAGGGGUGAAAGGCUAAUCAAACUUGGAGAUAGCUCGUACUCCCCGAAAUGCAUUUAGGUGCAGCCUUUAUUUAGUAUAGCAUGAGGUAGAGCGACUGAUUGGAUGCGAGGGCUUCACCGCCUAUCAAGUCCAGAUAAACUCCGAAUGCGUGCUAUAUAUUGAUAAGGAGUGAGGGCGCGGGUGCUAAGGUCCGCGUCCGAGAGGAGAAGAAUCCAGACCAUCAGCUAAGGUCCCCAAAUAACAGUUAAGUUGAACUAACGAAGUCGGACUGCAGAGACAGCUAGGAUGUUGGCUUGGAAGCAGCCAUUCAUUUAAAGAGUGCGUAACAGCUCACUAGUCGAGGAGUCCGGCGUGGAUAAUACUCGGGCAUAAACUGUUUACCGAAGCUAUGGAUGUAGAAAUACAUGGUAGGGGAGCAUUCCAACGGCGUCGAAGGUGAAGGAUGACCUUUGCUGGAGCUUUUGGAAACGCAAAUGUAGGUAUAAGUAACGAUAAAGGAGGUGAGAAACCUCCUCGCCGAAAGACUAAGGUUUCCUGAUCAACGUUAAUCGGAUCAGGGUAAGUCGGGACCUAAGGUUAAGCCGAACGGCGAUACCGAUGGAAGAAUGGUUUAAUAUUCCCAUACUACUUUAUGGAGCGAUGUGGAGACGGAGAAGUGAAAGUCCUGCCAUCUGACGGAAUAGGUGGUUGAAGAGUGUAGAUGUAGAUUCCUGUAGGCAAAUCCGCAGGGAGAGUCGACCUUGACAGUAUGCCGCGUGCUUGCACAAGGCAAAAUGGACGUAAUCAGGCUCCCAAGAAAAUCCGCUAAGCAUAUUCAUAAAGUACCCGUACCGUAAACGGACACACGUAGUUGGGUUGAAAAUACUGAGGCGCUCGAGUGAUUCACGGUUAAGGAACUAGGCAAAUUGACCCUGUAACUUCGGGAUAAAGGGUCCCUACUGAGAGGUAGGGCGCAGAGAAUAGGUCCAGGCAACUGUUUAACAAAAACACAUGGCUGUGCGAAAUAGAAAUAUGAAGUAUACAGCCUGACACCUGCCCGGUGCUGGAAGGUUAAGAGGAGAGCUCAUCGCAAGAGAAGGUUUGAAUUGAAGCCCCAGUAAACGGCGGCCGUAACUAUAACGGUCCUAAGGUAGCGAAAUUCCUUGUCGGGUAAGUUC